rnacentral:lncRNA from 1 species
UGUCUUGUAGGGAGGCAACAUCAGCUCAAGGGAGAAGGCCUCUUGGUUUAAGGAAGGAGACCUCUGUUGAGGCUCACAGAUGUCCGAGUUGCUGAAUAUCCUGGGUGAACAGGAGACCUGACUUCCAUUUGCCUCUGAUGCUCAGGCACAGCCCUCGGACGUGGACAUCAUCAAACGUCCUCUUCGCCUUGGAAGGGGGCAAACAAAAUCCAUAUUUCAACUCCAUUUUCUCACUGGGAGGAGAGAGGGGCAGGUACCAGUAAGAUAAGACAGAAAAUGAAGAAAGGAGAUAAGAGAAAAAAAAAGAUGUCUGACUAAAUGAGCAGGUAAGAAACAGAGCCUAAUGGAGCGGCACCUUGCCUUCAUGUCAUCAG